GAUGAACGCUGGCGGCGUGCCUAAUACAUGCCAGUCGAGCGAACAGAUGAGGAGCUUGCUCCUCUGACGUUAGCGGCGGACGGGUGAGUAACACGUGGAUAACCUACCUAUAAGACUGGGAUAACUUCGGGAAACCGGAGCUAAUACCGGAUAAUAUAUUGAACUGCAUGGUUCAAUAGUGAAAGACGGUUUUGCUGUCACUUAUAGAUGGAUCCGCGCCGCAUUAGCUAGUUGGUAAGGUAACGGCUUACCAAGGCAACGAUGCGUAGCCGACCUGAGAGGGUGAUCGGCCACACUGGAACUGAGACACGGUCCAGACUCCUACGGGAGGCAGCAGUAGGGAAUCUUCCGCAAUGGGCGAAAGCCUGACGGAGCAACGCCGCGUGAGUGAUGAAGGUCUUCGGAUCGUAAAACUCUGUUAUUAGGGAAGAACAAAUGUGUAAGUAACUAUGCACGUCUUGACGGUACCUAAUCAGAAAGCCACGGCUAACCACGUG
rnacentral:rRNA from 1 species